rnacentral:misc_RNA from 1 species
UGGUUCUGGCAUCGAUGAAGAACGCAGCGAAAUGCGAUAAGUAGUGUGAAUUGCAGGCUUUAGUGAAUCAUCGAAUCUUUGAACGCACAUUGCGCCCCUUGGUAUUCCACCGGGCAUGCCUGUUCGAGCGUCAUCCGCAUCCCUCGAGCCUCGCUCGGUGUUGGGCGCCCGUCCAUCCCUACACGGGGGACCCGCCUGGAACGGAUUGGCAGCGACGCUCCCCUGCUCCCCGCGCAGCACGUUGUUCCCGGGGGGCCCGGGUACGUCCGCGUCCACGGAGACGAUCGAAGCUUGACCUCGAAUCAGGUAGGGAUACCCGCUGA